rnacentral:rRNA from 1 species
UGGAAUAACUCCGGGAAACCGGGGCUAAUGCCGGAUAAUAUUUAGACCCGCAUGGUUCUAAAGUGAAAGAUGGUUUUGCUAUCACUUAUAGAUGGACCCGCGCCGUAUUAGCUAGUUAGUGGGGUAAUGGCUUACCAAGGCAACGAUACGUAGCCGACCUGAGAGGGUGAUCGGCCACACUGGAACUGAGACACGGUCCAGACUCCUACGGGAGGCAGCAGUAGGGAAUCUUCCGCAAUGGGCGAAAGCCUGACGGAGCAACGCCGCGUGAGUGAUGAAGGUCUUCGGAUCGUAAAACUCUGUUAUUAGGGAAGAACAAAUGUGUAAGUAACUGUGCACGUCUUGACGGUACCUAAUCAGAAAGCCACGGCUAACUACGUGCCAGCAGCCGCGGUAAUACGUAGGUGGCAAGCGUUAUCCGGAAUUAUUGGGCGUAAAGCGCGCGUAGGCGGUUUCUUAAGUCUGAUGUGAAAGCCCACGGCUCAACCGUGGAGGGUCAUUGGAAACUGGGAAACUUGAGUGCAGAAGAGGAAAGUGGAAUUCCAUGUGUAGCGGUGAAAUGCGCAGAGAUAUGGAGGAACACCAGUGGCGAAGGCGGCUUUCUGGUCUGUAACUGACGCUGAUGUGCGAAAGCGUGGGGAUCAAACAGGAUUAGAUACCCU